rnacentral:lncRNA from 1 species
CAGGCCUACACUUUGUGCAUCCAAAGUCAGAAGCACACUUAUGAGAUCAAUUUAGUUCAGCAUGUGGAAGAAUGGCAUUCAGUGAGCUAUGCCAUCACGUCACAUAAAGAAAAUGUAACCAUGGCUGCAGAGAUUUCGUUGGGUCACUCUAAACUGUUACCAAGAUAUGUAACUGAACUGUGGAUCCUUUCAACAAAUCUCUAUAUGAGGGGCUGAAUAUAGAGAACCAACGAACUAAGAUCAUUGUCAUCUUCCUGAAAGAUGAGAAGUAACAUUCUUUGCCUACCAUCAUUGGAGGCAACGUUGAUGGCCUUCUGGUUUUGAUAAUUAUAGUCAUUCUGUCCAAGUGUGGCAUUUUCCCCCCAGCCCUCUUCUCGUGUUAGCAAGGUAUGUGGCUUUUUAAAAAGAAAAUAUCAAUAAUUGAACUUAGCAUAGGGAAGGCCCAGAUGAAGCCAGCGAAUCUGCUCACAGAAAAAAAAUAA